CACCAGCCUAGCGUGGGCUUCAGCACACACUGAAAUACAGACUCAGAUCUGAGAAUCUUGAUGAGGCUAGUUAUUUAGAAUCUUGCUGCUGGAUACUGUGCAAGCCCCAGGAUCAAAGAGGACAGCCACACUUAGGUCAGAGAUAAUCUGGGAAAUAUUCCCCAGGUUCUCAGAAGUCCUCGGAGGAUAUUAAAAG
rnacentral:lncRNA from 12 species